rnacentral:lncRNA from 1 species
CGCCGGCGUGUCGACCAACAACUACGCCCUGGACGAGAUCAAGGAAGUUUAACAUCAGAGACGACUACUGCAACCUGCAGCCUGUGCUGUUUGGCAGCUCGAUCCAUGUGAAAUGUUAGCCCACAAGUCUUGUCUGUAAUAGUGUAACUUCUACGAUUAUAUGUAUUUGCUCGCUUCCUUAUGGACGUAAUAAUCUCAUGUCAUGUUGCUUACAAGACUUGUAUUCUUUUUUUUCCUUCACUUUUGUUUGUACAUGCACGUAAGUGACUUAGUUGGUGCUCAAAAGGAUCUUUUGUUCAUGAUAUAUACUCCCUUCGUGUCAUAUUAAGUGACAAAAUAUUACAUGUUCUAGAAACUCUUGGGUAUAGAUACAUUCAUAUUAGGCCAACUUUGAGUCACUUAAUAUGAGACGGAGGAAGUAGCAGGUGGCUACACAACUCACCCAAACUUAAGUAAUUCAGGGUUAAACCACCCAGCAGAGUCGACUGGCCCAAAACGCAUAUUUGGUCAUAUAUGGUGCGCCUAGAUUCAAUGAACAUGCACAUAAAAGUAAAAGAAUCACGGCUGCACAAUGGUGAACUUCUUUCUUUUUUCGGGUAAAUGGUGAACUUCACUAUAUCCGCACUGGUUACAGAACGCAGGGUUUAACAAUGAGCUUUCAGUUCAUCUGUGUGGCUCAUACAGAGGUAUAUAUAGGUGGAGGUAGUCUGACUCGAAUCGAACAGGAAGCCCAACACUUAUAGUACAUACCUCUCAUCACAAGAAUUCAAUAUACAUUAACAAUUUCCACCUUGCGGCGCAUUUUUCAUCAAAUAUUCAGCAAUCUUAAAGUCUUACACGGAGGUGGGUGUGUGUGUGUACACGGCUAUCGAACAUGCAUAUAAUCCAGUCUACCACCGAUGGCUAAACACCCUGAGACUGGUAAAACUAGCUAGGAAAACCUAUAUAAGGUAUCGUUAGCAUUGCACAUUCCAUUCGGGCUCGAUGAUGACUUUGAUGAUUGCCUGUUGGAACACCUCGCUUGAUCACGGUCACGUGAAGAUAAUCAAUCCCCCCCACCCACAUUCCAGUGUGGGGGACUGGCGUGGUCAUGAAUAACCACGUACUCGACUCGAGUAUACCUGCUGCGGCCCAGUUGGGAGUUCACAAGAAAGCCUAUUACGAUUCCUGGAGUCUAAAUGUCAAAUCUUGCAACUCAAGAUAAAAAAGAUUAAUUAGAGUAUAUCUCCUCGUUGUAACCGAUUUGGAUUUUACCUUAGACCUGAGUUCCUGCAUAUAUAAAGGACCAGGAGGGGGAGCCAAGGACACCGUACCUAGCUAGAAGUCGCCUAGACACACUUGAAUUUGUGCAUUUAGCCUCAGCGGCAUCCCGUUGUAAUCGAUUCAUCAAUACAGAUCAAACAAGCAGGAUGCAGGGGUAUUACCUCAUCGAGGGCCCUGAACCUGGGUAAAUCGUGUUUCCUGUGUCCUUGUUAGCCGACGAGUUCGCCAACACACACGCAUGUUGCUCUCCCUAAACACAAAGCCCCUCAACAUGGGCAUUGCCGAAGUCACAACUUCGUCAUUGGCGCCGUCUGUGGGAAAGACGUGUGUUGGAGACACGACCUUGGCGGUUCCAGAUUCCUAUAACCCGUCGUCGACUCAGGCGGAGUCAAUGACCUUCGGGUCCUUCCACUUUACCGCUCACCCCCCAGCCAGCCGCGCGGUUUUCGACGCGCUUGACGCUGGCGUUGACCUUGUGUUCGGGGAGUUCCAUUUCCGAGCCGACCGAUCCGGUAUCCUUCGACUGUCGGGUCCGACUGCUCUAACUCUGGAGAAGUUGCCUCUCUCACCCUCAAGAAAAGUCUCGCCGACAGAUUCGGUGGGACCACUUGACGAAGCAGAGCAAGUCUCCCUCGGGACUCCCUCUGAAGUCGAAGCAGACCCACCUUAUUGUGCAGAAAGCCCCGUCCCAAGUGACGCCGGCUAAUGCCCGGAACAAGAAAGUUGCCAUAGCAACAACGAUCUUGCGCCUCAAUGUGCCCAAUUCUUCAUGACAAACCUAGUCGCUCCAACUCCUCCGGCCGCGGAUACCAUCGCAAACUUGCAAGGUGGACAUUUAGCAGCGGAGAAGGCACGGGUCCAAGGAGCCCUUGACACGGGAGUCCUCAUGAAAGACCCCACUCCCGCGGAAUUAAAGCUGUAUGCAAAUUCCUUAGCCGGGAACCGGUUCAACUUGAUCAAAGAAAAAGAAGAGUUUGUCAAGCAGCAGAAGCACGAAGCCGACAAACUUAAAAAGAUAGAAGAGGAACUUCAAGUGUCUGGGAAGGCUCGGCCAGAAUCAUCCGACACUUCGGACAAAAGCGCCUUCCCUCUCCGAAACGCUCAUCGUGGGUCUCGUUUCUAUAAACUGCCCAAGGGAGACAGAACCUACGCGGUUCGUGAUCUCUCCUCAAGCUUCAUGUCGGCAGAUGAUCGCAAUGAUGCAACAGUUGGGAUUACUGAAGAGGCACUCCGUGUGGAGAGUACUUAUCUGUCAAUCCCACUACCCGACAAUGACCCGCACUAGCGCGUCUGCAAGCAAAUCCUAAAAGGAUUGACUAAAGCAGGGGCUUCUUGCAUCAAUCAAAACCCGGCCGCUCCACCUCAUACGGAUGACGAGCCUCAGCGUGAACGUCGACUGCCCGUCUCGGGACAAAACGAACACGAGCCAAACCCUCGCAGAAGGAGUGAAUCUCCUCGUCGAGUCAUUAGCCCCCUAGCUGGCUGCAGGGAGGACAAUCCUGAAUCAGAUCACGAAACGUGUGGAGUACCAUGUUUCAGUCGUCGGAUUUGCCGAACCAGGAUGCCAAGAAACUUCAAGCCGCUAGCUGACCUGGCAAAAUACGAUGGCACGCAGGAGCCCAGGACCUGGCUGGAGGACUACCUGACCGGGAUUCGAUGCUAUGGUAGAACUCGAACCACCGCUAUGCAGUGCCUUCAACUCAAGCUCAGGGGUCCGGCUCGUACCUGGUUGAACAGCCUACGCAAGGGCGAGGUUACUUCAUGGGACGAGUUGGUAUAGGCUUUUACAUGCAAUUUCAAAGCCACGUAUAAGCGACCGUAUCUCUCGAACAACUUCGAUCGUGCAUUCAACGCAAAGGAGAGUCUAUCCGCUCCUAUAUCCAGCGAUGGACCAACACAAAACAUGCCUCCGAAGAAAUCUCAGAUGAAAGCGCCAUAGACGCAUUCAAACGAGGUCUUCGUCAAGUUGAGCUCAAGGAAGAAUUGGGUCGCGUUCGACCUUCUACCAUCAGCUAUCUGAUGGAAAUCGCGAACCGAUGGGCUGAUGGAGAAGACUCACUCCGCAAUGAACGUGGUCAAUCCCCAGUCAGUAGCACAUACCGCACCUUCGAAAGACGGAGGAAGCGCAAGGGUUGCACGUUUGAGGAACCAACCUCACCCGAUUUUGUCGCAGCCACUUCUCAAGUAGAAGGUGGCCGCAACGAUGAAAUUCGCGGGCCUAAACCUCAGUGGCGACGCAAGGGAGGCCAGAUUACACUCUCUCAGCAACUGGCGUCUCCUUGCCCGUUCCAUGUCUACAAAGACGAACAAAGCAACAUUAAGCCUAGCCAUCCUCUUAGGGAGUGCAGGCGAUUUAAGGAGUUACAGCUCGAGUUUUCUAGAGCACAGGAAACAGCCGUACACAUGGGUUAUCCCCAUCACCCUAGCAAUGGAGUCACCAUGUUACCACCGGCUCAGCUUCCGGCGACUCUCGCCAUCGGAGCUUCAUCGGCUCAUCUACUCCAAACCAACCUGGCCGUGGUAGUAAACCACUCUUCGGAACCAACACCUGCUGCUGUCGAGCCUUAUCCAGCCCCAACAGGUCACGGGUGCAUGAUUCAGAAGUGCAGGCCAACAAACCGGGUUCAGAAGCUAAUAACCCGACAAGUGCAUAUGGCCGUGGCCACGCCACCAGCCGUACCACAAUACCUUGAUUGGUCUGAAACAGAAAUCAGUUUCUCUCGAGAGGAUCACCCUCCUAGAGUCCCACGGCUUGGACACGCAGCUCUAGUGCUCGAAGCCCAGAUCCGCGGAUACAUGAUGAACAAAGUAUUUGUCGACGGCGAAAGAGGUCUCAACCUUAUUUACGCUGACACCCUCCGAGGGAUGAAUCGUUCCAUGACAAAGCUUCCUGCAACGGACACAACCUUCCACGGCAUCAUCCCGGGCAAAGCAGCCAUGCCGCUGGGAAGAAUCAGCCUUGACGUGGUAUUCGGCUCACCCGACAAUUUUCGGUGUGAAAGGCUCGACUUCGAAGUGGUCAACUGGCCUUCACAAUACCACGUAGUGCUGAGUCGAGUCGCGCUGGCUCGCUUCAUGGCGGUGUCGCAUUAUGCUUACCUCAAGCUCAAAAUGCUAGGGCCCGACGGCGUGAUCACCGUUUCAGGGAACUUCACACACUCAGAUAAUUGCGACAAGGAGUUUCAUAAAAUCUACGAGUCCUUCGGCAUGCAUGAAGUGUUCGAGCAGCUAAAAGCUUCAACCGGUCUAGAGCAAUCACCCGUCGCAAAAAACCCGGCUCAUCAGCCCGAGUUCAACAAGAAAGCAGACACCAAGGAGGUUCAGGUCCAUCCGACUGACCCCAGCAAGACCGUUAUCAUCUCAACAAGCCUUCCUCCUGCAUAGGAAAGCGCGCUCGUCGAGUUCCUCCGUGAGCGCUAGGAAAUCUUUGCCUGGGUGCCAGCUGACAUGCCAGGAAUUCCUAGGGAACUUGCCGAGCACGCACUUAAAGUGGACGAGAACGCAAAGCCGGUGCGACAACCCAUGUGGCGUUUCUCAGAACCAAAGCGCACAGCCAUCGGGGAAGAAGUUAAACGACUCCUCGAAGCUAAAUUCAUCAGGGAGACAAAACAAGCGACCUGGGUAGCAAACCCUGUCCUUCUCCCCAAGAAGAAUAUCACAGUCCUGCAUAUGUGCGUCGACUUCACGUCGCUUAAUAAGCACUGCCCAAAGGAUCGUUUCCCUUUGCCGCGGAUCGACCAGAUCGUUGACUCAACUGCCGGCUGCGAACGAUUGUCAUUUUUGGACGCCUACUCAGGUUACAACCAGAUUCGACUCAAGGUCGAAGACGAGAAGAAUACAUCAUUUGUCACUCCAUACGGAGUUUUCAGUUACACAACAAUGUCUUUCGGGCUAAAUAACCCAGGUGCUACCUUUGCAUGCUGCAUGUAGGCAUGCCUAGAGCCUCAACUGGGAAACAAUGUCCAAGUUUAUAUCGAUGAUAUCGUCAUUAAAACGAAGAAAGAAGCAACGCUUCUCGAUGACAUACGGGUGACAUUCAAUAACCUUGACAAGUACAAAAUCAAGUUGAACCCACCAAGUGCACCUUCGGGGUACCCGCCGGGCAACUCCUUGGAUAUUUCCUACCGGCUUGAGGCAUUGAAGCAAACCCGACAAAAAUCAGAGCUAUCCUAACUAUGAAGGAGCCGACUAAAACUCAUGAGCUCCAAUAGCUCACAGGUCGACUCGCGGCUUUGAGUCGAUUCAUCGGUAGGCUAGACGAAAAAGCUUUGCCCUUUUACCAUCUUCUGGAAAAGAAGAAAGAAGAUUUCAUGUGGACCCUAGAGGCCAGUGCUGCUUUCGCAGACUUGAAGCGCCUGCUGUCAACCUCGCCGAUUCUCGUCGCCCCACAAGAAGAUGAGCAGCUCCUACUGUACAUCGCAGCCACCACCCAGGUGGUUAGCACAACGAUCGUAGUUGAGUGAGCCGAAGAAGACAAGACCCACGGCGUUCAGCGCCCAGUAUACUACAUAAGUGAGGUCCUUUCGCCUACGAAGCAAUGUUAUCCCCACUACCAAAAGCUUGCGUAUGGAGUCUUCCUAACAGCACGCAAGCUAAGACAUUAUUUCCAGCAACACACAGUUGUGGUUGUCAGCGAGGCUCCACUCGCCAACAUUCUGAACAACUCAGAAGCGACUGGGCGAGUCGCCGAAUGGGGAAUCGAGCUCUCGGCUCGCAACAGUCUGCGAAGUUCUUCGAAGAUAAAUUCUUCACGGGCAGCUGCUGCCUUCAGUUUCGCCUUAGCAACUUGCAACUCUCCCAUGGUCCUCCGACUCUACAUCGUCGAGUCCUUGGCUUGGGAUUCGGCUCCUUGGAGACGCCGACGAAGGAACUCCAGUUCACUUUGAGUCUUGUCUAAGGAAGGAACCUCCUUAGGAGCCAUUGACCCCACGGUUUUCGAAGCUUCAGGAGGGUUCACUUCAGCCGAGAUUUCGGCACUCGUGAUGUUUGACUCGGGAGUCAUGAACUUCUCGGCGUCUACUUCAACUACUGCAAUCGUGGACUCUUUCUGCCUUUGCAAAAGAGAAAUUCCCAUUAGUCCCGAGAAGGAUUCAAAGACAUCAAGCCUAACUAGGUGCAAGGUGUCCGACUCAUAUCAGUACAAAGGAACAAAGGCGUUUCUUUAUUAACAACGCUCAAACUCGAGCAAGGACCAUACAAAAAAAGAGACAAAAUUAGAAAGAGAAAAGGAGAAAGCCUAAGAAGUCUAAAAUUCAGCUUGGCCCACCUCUUGACUCGGCGCAGGUGUCGACGACUGUGGAGCCACUCCCCCUUCAGAGGCCAUACUACCCAGCUGCACGUCGCUAGUUCUUCACCGAGCUGGAAGUAAGGUGUCAGGGCCAUCUCCUCCCCGCUGGGUAGCAACGGAGGACCGGAAGCCACCUUCCGCAGCACGUCCUCGCCGAUGCCGUGCGCUAAUGCUAACACAAACGUCGACUCAGCACCAGAGUUGGUCUGGACCCAGCUGAACUCGUCCAGGGGAUCCGAGUCAGCACUGAAAAACUCUAUGAGUUUCCCAAGCGACUCCGGCACCGGCUUAUCAGGGAACAUUUUCCCAAACAAACUGGUGAGCACACGGGAAGCUUGAUGGAGACCAGUCGCCGCCUCUAAGCUGACGCUUGCCACAUCAUCAAUCACGUUCUCGAGUGAAUUCUCACUCGUGGUCAAAAGACUAGACAAGGAAAUCAGGCCUGCAAAAGAGCCAAAGCAUUAACAAGGGAUUCAAACGAAUGGAAUCAACUGCAACGUUUUUACCUGCAAGGGGGCCGACGACUCCGAUGAGUUAGAUGGCUCGCGUCUUCUCCUUCUCAGCCUCCUUGGCGAGAAUGGCGUCCGAAGCUGCUUGGGCGAGGCGUUUUUCAGCCUCUACCUUCUUUGCCGACUGCCUGGCCAGAUCACCAAACAUCUUUUUCAAAUUCUUGUACUGAAGCUCGGCGGCAUCCUUGAGGGAGUUAGACUGAGAAAGGAGAUCUACACGACAAACAAUAAGAUACGGGUAGUUUUUCGACUCAAGGAAAGAUUGAGUCAGAGGUAUUACCUUGAGCAGAUCUCAGCUCCUGUUGGCUUUGCUCCAAUUCUCGACGGAGCUGAUCGCGCACAGCCACUGCCUCCUCAUAUUGAUCAACAAUCUUCGUUAUGGAGCGGACGGUCGAUCGGCUGCGAGCAUGUUGGCGGCAGCAUCUGACUCAUACUCCCAUCGGGAGAACAAAAAACAAAAUUCAACAAGAAGAGUUCGAAACUUACAUGGCAAACUAAAGCUAAGGGAGCCUGACAAUAGGGUGACUUCGACAAUGUCCAUAUUGAUGGACUUGUAUCUAGAAAAUAUUUCGAGUGUGUGUUGGCGAACUAGCCCGUAUAGGGUUCGAUCUCUGUGCUUACUGUGCUAGUCCCUGGAUCGACUCACUAGCACAUACAGUUUCAUGAUGAAAUAUACAGAAACAAAGGUCAAAGUACUUUAUGACAUCGCAUCAUCCAGGAUUUAAAUAGUACUUACAACCUCGCAUGACCCCUUGGGCCAGCAUAAACAAAUACUGUUUCAACAUCAUAAAACAUUGUUUUCAAAACUGCAGCGGAAAAGGGUAGAACAUAAGGGCCACAACUACUCCAAGGUGAGAGCAUGUUGGAAUGUAAGCACAUGACCCACAACAUAACGACGAACCUCACUCAUCGUCGGAUCCACCUGCAUUGUUAAUUGCAGCCACUACGUGCUCAAUACAUUUGAAUGUAUUGGCAAGUUCACCUGAAGCGAUCCCCUUCUCCAAGGGUUCGAUCUCUGUGCUUACUGUGCUAGUCCCUGGAUCGACUCACUAGCACACAGAGUUUCAUGAUGAAGUAUACAGAAACAAAGGUCAAAAGUACUUUAUUACAUCGCAUCAUCCAGAAUUUAAAUAGUACUUACAACCUCGCAUGACCUCUGGGGCCAGCAUAAAAACAGUACUGUUUCAACAUCAUAAAACAAUGUUUCAAAAUAUUGCAGCGGAAAAGGGUAGAACAUAAGGGCCACACUACUCCAAGGUGAGAGCAUGUUGGAAUGUAAGCACAUGACCCAUGACAAAACGACGAACCUCACUCAUCGUCGGAUCCACCUGCAUUGUUAAUUGCAGCCACUACGUGCUCAAUACAUUUGAAUGUAUUGGCAAGCUCACUAGAGUUAUAAAGGACCUACCAAGUACAUGCAUAGUUUGGCUAAGUGGGGUUUGGCUAUUUUGCAUAAAAGCAUCAUUAUUCAAAUCCUAUCAUUUUUAGACAAAAAGUUUUGAAUUCUAUUGGACACGGGGUAGAAACACCCAUGCUCCUAUUAACCUAGGCACAUUGAGUAGAAACAUCAAUGCUCCUACCCAGUUCAAACCAUUCGUUUUAUUAGGAAAUUGGAAUGAGUGAGACUUUCCUUACAGCUCCAAUAGACGCUCCCGAAUCACACGGAGAGACGACUCAGCGGGCCCCAUAGAAAUGGACCUAACGUCACGACAUCCGAAAACUCAAAGCAGCCCACCCAGGACGGUUCAUUGAAUUACUUGUUUUGCCAUACACUAGGAAAAACUAUAUUUGUAAUUCAAUAGUAUCACAUUAUAAUAAUACCACCCUCGUAUAUUAUCAUAGCAUAGCAUUUUACUACUACGAUGGCAAUUGGUGGUAAGGUCAUGACAAAGGGUAUCCUAUACUACUAGGACAGAUCAUAGCUAGCAUAGAUACAAUAUUAAUCCUAACAAUGCAACUAAUGAAAACUAGUGCAUAAUAAAAUAAUGGGAUGAUGGUCAAAGUGAACUUGCCUUGAUAGUAGUUGGUAUUCAGACACUCUUCAUAGUCACACAGUUCGCUCUCCGAGAAAACUAUACUAUCAGGCAAACAUACACAUACAUAAACACACCAUACAAGCAAAAGAAUAUGUAUGUCAUGAUGCAAUGCAAAACAUGUGACAUGAGUUUGGUUUAUUUCAUUUGGGUGAUCUGCUGAUCCAAUGCCUUGAGAAUCAAACACAUGUAAUUAGGGUUUUUAAGCAAAAGCAAAAGUUAGGGUUUAAAUCCUAAAAUGAGGUUUUAUUUGCAUCUGCAAAACAAUUUAAUUCAAAAUAUUUAUUUCUCUGCCCCAUUGGACAGAGGACAUUAGAACAAAAUUUUGGGCACUGGUUUCAUUCAAAAAGGACUUCUAAAUAAUUAGUUAUGAUUUAAAUGGCAUAAAACCCUAAUCUGUGAUUUGAAUGUGAUUAAAAUAUUCAAAUUUGAAUUUGGGCAGUGCAAAAAUAUUCUACACUUCCUAAGGAUUCCAAAAAGGUGUGGAUCACUAAAUUUGGACAAACAGAUUUAAAGUUAUGAUCAUUUGAAGUUACAGGGGCCUAUCUGCAAAAAGACCAUUUAAUUAUUCCGGGGGAUUAAAAUUACAUUCUCAUUUUAUAAACCAGGGGCCACGUGGCACGUUAUCAUUGGAUGGUACCGGUUCGGUUUAUAAAUAAAUCCGAGCCGUUAGAUCUAACUUAUAAAGAUCGGACGCUCCACAGUGCGUACCGGUUCGUUUUAUAAGUGAUCUAAUCCCAGCCAUCGAUCUAGAUCAGACGGACGAGGGGCUAGGGUUUCUUACCGGGCGGCGGCGGGCUGCCGGAGUUGGAGGAGACGGCGGCGCGGGCACGGGCACGGCGGCGCGGGGCUCUCCGGCGAGGCUGGCGACACGGGGGUGGUCGGGAACGGCGCGGCGCGGCACGGCGGAGACGGGGCCGCGGUCGGCGUGGGCUCGGGCGGCGCGGGUCGGUGCCUAGGACGGGACGAGCGGGCGGCGCGGGCGGCGGACGGCGGGCGGGGUGCUCCGACGAGGCUGGCGACGCGGGGAGUUCACGGGGAGACGCGGCGCGGCACGGCGGAGACGGGGGCGCGGUCGGACUGCGGCGAGAAAUCGGGGCAGCCUGGCGGCGCGAUUGGAUGGGGAAACAAGGGGGAAAGAGAGAGGGGGUCGCGGGGGUUAUAAAGGCGUGCUCGGGCAUGAAAAUGGAAGGCCGGAGGAGGAGAUUGCGGCGGCGGGCGCGCGGGGACGGCGGCCAGAAAUCGCGCGCGUGACCGGCGGCGCUUUCCUUCAGGGAAGACGCAGCUGACAGGUGGACCCCACCUGUCAGCGACUGCGGGCGCGCGCGCGCGGACCGGGCGGUCUGGGCCGGUUGGGUGCGGUCGGACGGGGCCGGUUCGGCCCAUUUUGGCCGGGCCGGUCCGGUUUACCCCCUUUUUUUUUCUUUUAGGCCUUUUCUUUUUCUGCUUUUCUCAUUUCUUUGAUAUCUUUUGUGUUUGAACUCCAAAUUGGUCCAAAUAAAUUCCAGAAAAUUUGUAAAAUCAUAUUCUACCAUGAGACAAGUUUUGGGAGUAGUUUCUCCUCAAAAUAAAAUAUAUAAAAAUACAUUUGUCCUAUAAAUGCCUUUAGGGCUAUAUAUCUAUUUGAAUAUAAUACUUUUUCAACUCCAAAAAUUAUCCAAAAAAAAAUAUGGGAUAGCUCAUAUAUGCAGUAAACCCCUUUUAUACAUAAAAUCUAUUGGUUUGAAAAUCCAAACUCAAAUGGGUGUAAACCCUAGGGUUUAAAAUGAAAUAAAGAAUCUUUCCAAAGCCUUUUGAGAUUCAAAAUUUGAAUUCAAAUAUGAAAUUGUGGCAUGAUGCUCAUGGAUGCAAUGCACAUGUAAAAGCUUGAAAUUUUGGGAUGUUACAUCACCAGAGUUAUAAAGGACCUACCAAGUACAUGCAUAAUUUGGUUAGGAGGGGUUUGGCUAUUUGCAUAAAAGCUUCAUUGUUCAAUCCUAUCAUUUCUAAACAAAUAGUUUUAAUUCUGUUGGACACGGGGUAGAAACACCCAUGCUCCUAUUAACCUAGGCACAUUGAGUAGACACAUCAAUGCUCCUACCCCAGUUCAAUCCAUUCAUUUUAUUAGGCAAUUGGAAUGACUGAGACCUUCCUUACAGCCCCCAUAUCUAGUUGCUCAUGAUUGUCCGUAACCGGGGACACGGCUAAAUACUUAGUUUGACAGUCUCGAGAGGUUGUACACAUUCCCCACAAGAAAUCGACGUGUUAAUCCCUUGCUGUCCUUCGAGUGGACUAGCAACGGCAUCGACUUCAAGAAUUUUCAGAACAUAUUCACCCAGACCACCUAAGGGACCCGCGCUCCCACCUGCACAACUACCUCAGUACAAUCCCUCAGAUCUGGGUUCAUAUUUCUUACUCCAUCCAGUCAGAGCCCAUAUUAGCUUGUGGUUGUACUGGAAGCUACUAAACAGGAAACUAGUCCAGUCUCUGAUACCCCAGGUGGCAUUCCACAUUUGCGACGCAAGCGCUCCCCGAAUCCAUGGAAGAGACGUCCAUGGACGAUCCAUCUCCGAAUCCACGGAGACUCGACUCAGAGGGACCCACAAAAAUGGAUCUGACGUCGCACAACAUCUCGAAUACUCAAAGCAGCCCACCCAGGACGGUUCAUUGAAUUACUUGUUUUGCCAUACACUAGGAAAACCAUACUUUAAUUCAAUAAUAUCACAUUGUAAUAAUACCACCCUCGUAUACUAACAUAGCAUAGCAUUUGACUACUACGAUGGCAAUUGGUGGUGAGGACAUGGCAAUGGUAUCCUAUACUACUAGGAAUUCAUAGCUAGCAUAAAUACAAUAAUAGUUCUAUCCAUGCAACUAAUAAAACAUCAAGGUGAACUUGUCUUGGUAGCAGUUGGUAUUCAAGCACUCUUCAGAAUCACACUGAUCGCUCUCCGGGAAAACUAAAUCAAAUACAAACAAUACAUACAUAAACAUACAAUAUAAUCAAAUGAAAAAGAGUAUGCCAUGAUGCAAUGCAGAACAUGUGACAUGAGUGGGUUAAUUUUAUUCAGUUGAUCAACUGGUCCAAAGCAUUAGCGUUUAGAAAAAAAAACAUUGGGUUUAAAAACAUAUUGCAAAAACUAGGGUUUAAACCCUAAUACAAGGUUUUAUUUGCAUCAGCUAAACAAUUUAAUUCAAAAUAUUUGUUUCUCUGUCCCAGGGGACAGAGGACAUUUAAACAAACUUUUGGGCGCUGGUUUCAACUAAAAAGGAUUUCUAAAUAAUUAUUUAUGAAUUAAAUAGCAUAAAACCCUAUUCUGUAAAUUGACUGAGGUUAAAAUAUUCAAAUUUAAAUUUAAACGGUGCCAAAAGUUUCUACAGGUUGAGAGCUUUCCAAAAUGGUAAAGUUUGUCAAAUUUGGCCAAAGGGUUUAAAAGUUAUAGGCAUUUGAAGUUACAGGCGUUUUCUGCAAAAGUGCCAUUUAAAUAAACCGGGGGAUUUAAAUUUACAUUUUUAUUUUUCUAUUAAAGUGCCACGUGUCAGCUUCUCAUUGGACGGGCGAGGGGCAUCGGGCUCACCUCCGGGAAACCCUAGGGUUCCGGCGAGGUCGUCGGCAGCGGCGCGGUGCGGGCGGGGCGGCGGACGGGGUUCCGGGGGUCGCCGGGCUCAGGGAAGGAGACGGGCGUGAGCGGCGCGACGAGACGAAGGCUGUGACGCGGUCGGCGUGGCGAGAUGAGGUUCAAGGCAACGCCUAGGAUGACGGAGGGUCUCGGCGGCGUGGGCGCGGGCUUUGGCGAGGUCGGGCGGCGCUACUCCGGCUGCUAGGGUGCACCAAAGACGAAACCGUGCACGUCAACACAUGCGCACUGUCGAGAGGGUCCAGAAAUUUCAAGGCUCGGGCGAGGAGACUCACCGGCGAGGUUGACCAGAGGCGAAAACGGCGGCGGCUGGCUCCUUGCUCGGGCGAGGAAAUUCGGCGUUGUGGGCACGUGAGAGUGAGGGCAAACAGAGGGAAAGAGAAGAGAGGAGACUCGGCUUUAUAGGGGCACGCUCGGGCAGCUUCGGGAAGCACGGAAUCGGCGGAUUCCAGAGAUGGCGGCGGCGCGGUUUCCGGCGCGGACUCGGCGGCGUGACGCGGGCGCUUUCCAUCAUGGACGAAGGCCUGACAGGUGGGCCCUACCUGUCAGCGACGGGCGCGGGCGCGGGGCGCUGUUGAGCUGGACUGCGCGUGCGCAUGCAUGAGGAAUGGGCCUGUUCGGCUCAAAUCGGCCGGGCCGGUCCGUUUCUCCAUUUUUUUUCUUUGGACUUUUCUUUUUUUUUCUUUUUCUGAUUUCUUUGAUAUCUAUUAUUUUUGAACUCCAAAUUGGUCCAAAUAAAUUCCAGAAAAUUUGUAAAAUCAUGUUUUAUCAUGAUUCAACUUUUGGGAGUAAUUUCCCCUCAAAAUAAAAUAUAUAAAAAUACAUUUUCCCUAUAAAUGCCUUUAGGGCUUUACAACUAUUUAAAUAAAAUAGUUUUUCAACUCGAAAUAAAUAUCCAAAAAUUAUGGGAUAGUUUAUUUAUGCAAUAAACCCUUUUAUAACUAAACCCUAUUGGUUUGAAGAUCCAAAUCUCAAAUGGGUGAAACCCUAGGGUUUAAAUUGAAAUAAAAUCUUUUUAAAGCCUUGUGAGAUUCAAAUUUGAAUUCAAAAAUGCAAUUGUGGCAUGAUGCUCAUGGAUGCAAUGCAUAUGAAAUGUUUUAAAAUUUUGGGAUGUUACAGACCUAAGCCCCUUAAGAUGAAUCUCGUCCUCGAGAUUCGGUUUGGCUAGCAAAGAGGUGCGGGUGGUCUUCUCGAAGAUCAUCUUCGCGCUCCCAUGUGGCUUCCUCUUCUGUGUGAUGGUCCCAUUGAACUUUGCAAAACUUGAUGGUCUUGGAUUGGGUAUGUCUCUCGGCUGUAUCCAAGAUCCUGAUCAGUUUCACCUCAUAGAUGAGGUCACUUUGCAGCUGGACCUGCUCGAGCGGAAUUGUAUCCCUCAACGGUGUGUCGGCCAUCUCGGGGUGACACUUCUUCAGUUGCGAUACAUGGAAGACAUUGUGGACAUUCGACAGUGCUUCCGGUAAGUCCAAUUUUUAGGCCACCUCUCCUUGGCGUGACAAGAUCUUGAAAGGUCCAAUGAAACGGGGUGCCAGCUUUUCGUUGAUUCCAAAUCUCUUAACUCCGCGUAUCGGUGAAACUUUGAGAUACGCUCUAUCCUCAGCCUCGUAGGUAACCUCCCUACGUUUGGAAUCUGCGUAGCUCUUCUGCCUUGACUGAGCUACCUUCAGUCUGUCUCGGAUGAGUCUAACCUUUUCCUCAGCAUCCUUUAUCAUAUCCGGGCUGAACAGGCUACGGUCUCCUACACCAUCCCAUAACAAUGGUGUUCUGCACUUCCUUCCAUACAACGCUUCAAAAGGUGACAUUCCUAUGCUGGCUUGGAAGCUGUUGUUGUAUGAAAAUUCUGCAUACGGCAGGUUGUCAUCCCAACUGGAUCCAUAAUCUAGAGCGCAGGCUCUCAACAUAACCUCAAGGAUCUGAUUUAUCCUCUCGGUCUGUCCAUCCGUCUACGGAUGAAAAGCUGUGCUGAACUGUAGUCUCGUUCCUAGAGACUCAUGUAGUUGUCCCCAAAAUCUUGAGGUAAAUUGGGUGCCUCUGUCUGAAACUAUUUGCUUGGGUACUCCAUGUAAACACACUAUUCUGGAUAUGUAGCGUUUUGCUAACUAUACGCAGGUGUAUGUGGUCUUCACGGGUAUGAAGUGGGCAACUUUGGUCAAACAGUCGACCACUACCCAAAUGGAAUCAUAUCCUGAUCUGGUCCUUGGUAAACAGGUGAUAAAAUCCAUGCCAACUUUAUCCCAUUUCCAGUCUGGUAUUGGCAGUGGUCUUAGCAAUCCUGCUGGUUUCUGGUGUUCUGCCUUAACUCUGCUGCACACAUCACACAAGGCAAUGAAUUCUGCGAUGUCUCGCUUUAAUCCGGACCACCAAAAUGUUUCCUUGAAGUCCAUGUACAUCUUCGUGUUUCUAGGGUGGAUUGAGUACGGUGAGUCGUGGGCUUCUUGCAAUAUCAACUUUCUGAUCUCCGGAUCCUGCGGUACGCAAAUGCGUUUUCCGAACCAUAUGGUACCCUGGUCGUCUUCUCGAAAAUCCUUGGCCUUUCCGAUAAGUUUAUUCUCUUUUAUCGCAUUUAUUUCUGAUUCACCCUUCUGUGCUUUUCUGAUCCUGUCUAGCAACGUGGGUUGUACUUCCAAAGUGGCCAAAUGUCCUUCCGAUACAAUUUCUAGUCUCAGGUCCUUGAAUUGUUUGCAUAACUCUGGCGGUAAUUCUCCCACUGUCAGACCGUUCACAUAGCCCUUGCGGCUCAAAGCAUCGGCGACAACAUUAGCCUUGCCAGGGUGGUAUUGUAGACUUAGGUCAUAAUCCUUUAUCAGUUCCAACCAUCUCCGCUGUCUCAGGUUCAGCUCCUUCUGGGUGAAUAUAUACUUUUGGCUCUUGUGAUUCUUGAACAACUCACAGUGCUUCCCCAUCAGGUAGUGUUUCCUAGUCUUCAAGGCAUGCACUACUGAUGCUAAUUCCAAAUCAUGCGUGGGGUAGUUGCCUUCGUGGCUCUUUAGUUGCCGCGAAGCGUAUGCUACAACUCUUCCUCCCUGCAUUAAUACUCCUCCCAAACCUUGACGUGAAACGUCGCAAUAAACUUGAAAGUCUUCUUGCAGGUUUGGUAAUACAAGAAUAGGUGCGGACACCAAUCUCUUCUUUAACUCCUGGAAACUCUCUUCACAUGUCUCGUUCCAGGCGAACAUCUCUUUCUUUAAUAGUUUAGUCAUGGGUUUAGCAAUUUUGGAGAAGUUCUCAAUGAAUCUCCGAUAAUAUCCCGCAAGUUCUAGGAAACUGCGGAUAUCUCCAAUGUUCUUAGGUGACUCCCAUUCUGUAACAGCUGUCACCUUAGCUGGGUCGACAGCUACUCCGGCUCCUGACACAAUGUGUCCAAGGAAACUGACUUCUGACAGCCAAAAGUCACACUUGCUGAACUUGGCGUACAACUUGUGCGCUCUCAGCUUCUCCAGAAUCAUGCGCAGAUGCUGCUCAUGCUCUUCUUUGCUCUUGGAAUAAAUCAAAAUGUCAUCGAUGAAUACCACCACAAACUUGUCCAAGAAUUCCAUGAACACCUUGUUCAUCAUGUUCAUGAAGUAUGUGGGUGCAUUGGUCAAACCAAAAGGCAUCACGGUGUACUCAUACAGACCAUACCUAGUGGUGAAAGCUGUUUUGGGUAUAUCUGCCUCUCGGAUCUUCAGCUGAAAAUACCUUGAUCGCAGAUCGAUCUUUGAGAACACUUGAGCUCCCUUCAAUUGAUCGAAAAGAUCACUGAUUAUGGGCAAAGGAUAUUUAUUCUUUAUCAUCACCUCAUUUAGUGAACGAUAGUCAAUGCACAUCCGUUGGCUCUUGUCCUUCUUUUCCACAAAUAGGACAGGUGCUCCCCAUGGUGAUGAACUGGGGCGGAUGAAUCCUUUCGCUAACUGCUCAGCCAACUGCUUCUUCAAUUCUUUCAAUUCAUCCACAGCCAUCUUAUACGGUCUCUUAGCUAUGGGUCCACUUCCUGGCAUUAACUCGAUGAGGAACUCAACAUCACGGUCCGGUGGCAUGCCCGGUAACUCCUCUGGGAAUACGUCUGGAUACUCAUUCACUAUCGGAACCCCGUCCAGGCUAACCCCUUAAGAGAAUUGACCUUAGGUCUCUUAAGUUCAAAAGCCGACUUGAAACGGAUUCUCUUAUUCUCUGGGGUGGUGAGGGUGAUGGUCCUUCUGACACAGUCUAUGAGUCCCUCAUAUUUGGCCAGCCAAUCCAUUCCUAGGAUGACAUCCAAACCCUUGGACCCUAUUAUCAUUAGGUUUGUGGGGAAGGUGUGUUUCCCUAUUUCCAAGCUUAGCCCGCGGCUGUCAUAGGCGCCUAUCAAUUCUCCCCUUGGUGAAUUUACUUUCAUGGGGUUUGCUAGUGUGCUAAUAGGUAAUCCAUUUUUAUGCACAAAUCCUCUUGAGAUGAAUGAAUGAGAUGCACCGGUAUCAAACCGUACUAAAGCUUUAAAUGAAUCAAUGCUAAAGAUACCGAUGACUAUACCUUGCUCCUCGGUGAUCUCUUCCACGUCGAUGUGGUUCACGUUGCCCUUCUGGAAUGGGUUUGGUUUAACCACGUUCCCUCCAAAUCUCUCCGGGCAAUCGUUGGAGUAGUGCCCCAUCUUGUGGCACUUGUAGCACUCCACCUGGCUCAUGUCCCUGCCAGGGUUGCGGUUCUGUCCGGCUCCAUUGCCGUUGGUGUGGCCCUUUCCAUUUCCACUUUGGUUUCCACCUCCAUUGUGGUUACCAUUCCCGUUGUGGUGCCUCGGGCGCUGCUGCUGCUGGUGCUGGUGCUGAUGCUGCUGGUGCUUGCUGCUGCUGUUGUUUUCGGCAUGGCGGUUCUGAUGGUCAUACCCUCCAUUGCGUCUGUUGUUGUGGCCCCCGACCCUGUGCACAGACAAACUGCCGCUGCCGUCCUGGGUGAUGCGCGGCUUCUGAGGUGGCCCCGCGUGAGAGCCUCCUUGAUGGAGUCUCCUCUUGCGGUUCUCCAGUUGGUGGAGCUUGUUCUUCAACACAAUCGCCUUGUCAAUGAGCGAUUGGUAGGUAGGAGUGUAAGCAAUAGCCAACUGAACGGAGAGUUCAUCGUUCAGCGCGUCCAAGAACCUCUCUCGGCGCUUAGCAUCCAUGUUCACCUCGUCCGGUGCAUAGCGGGCGAGGUUAUUGAACUGGUCGAUGAACUCAAUCACCGUGCGACUUCCAUGUCUGAGCUGUAGGAACUCCUUCUUCUUCAAAUUAAGCACCCCCGCUGAGAUAUGGGCGGUGCGGAAAGCUUCUUGGAACAUGUCCCAAGUGACUUGCUCGAUCGGGGUGGUGAUCUGGUAAUUUUCCCACCACGAUGCAGCCGGUCCUUCAACCAGAUGGGUUGCAAACCGCACUUUCUCUUCCUCAGUGCAGUUGAUGGUCACCAAGUUCUUGUUAACUGAGCGGAGCCAGUCGUCCGCCACUAUUGGCUCGGGUGAGCUGGAGAAAGUGGGUGGGCGCAAUCGCAAAUACCUGGUCAGCAUAUCCACUUGUGGAGGGUGGUGUUGUUGAUUGUUGUUGUUCUGUUGGUUGUUGUUGGCCAUCUGCUGGGUAAUCAGUUGUAGAAAUUGGGUCUGUGCUACCAACAGUUGCUGCAUGGUUGCAGCGUUCCCGUCUGUCUCGGCAUUGCCGGCCUCAGUGUUGUUGGCAGGGUUCUGGCGUCUCGGAGGCAUCUGUUUAGGGUAGCAUAGAUGAGGAAACAGAUAGAAUAGAGCUAAGGAUGUCUAAGCCCCCACAAAACCAGAUAUUAACACAAGCAUAUCUCAAUCAUACACUCAAUCAUUCAUAAAAAGUUUUGAAAAAGAUAGCAAAUCACACUUGUUCAUGAUGGGGUACUGCCCAUAAGAAAAGAGUACGGGAAAAAGCAAUCGAUCUACAUUGCCAUACACAUAGCUUGUAUGGUCAAUGACUAACUCGCCAAAACUGAUAAUGAUAAAGACUGAUAAAACUGGCAGGCAUCGACUUGUACUAAGGAAGUGUGGCUAAUGGUGCGGUCCCGUUCGCCUUCCUCUUGGAGCGAGUGUUGGAGGCAGGGGUGUCCAUCUCGUGAACCUCCUGGGGCUCCUCCUCCUCAGUCGGUACCUCCUCCUGAGGCUCCAUCUCCUGAUCCUGUGGCGGAGGUGGGAUCUGAACAGGCGCCGGUGCAGUAGCUGGCACGGCUGCAGGUGCGGCAGCGGCCACGAUGAAAGCUUGGAACUGCUCGCAGUAGUAGCGAGCAUGGUCCCUCUCAUACUGCAGCUGCUCUAUGGCUCCUCCCAUGUUGAGGACAGUGUUCUCCAACACGGUCUUGUCCUCCUGCCACUGGGCCUUCUCUCUCAUUAGAUUACCGACCUGCUCCUCGGCUAGGUCGGCCCUAGUCAUCUCGUGUUCGAGGCAAGACUCUAAGUCCACUGUGUUUGCCUCCAUGUUUUCGAAGUGGGUCGUCACCGGGGUUGCAUCCUCGUCAUUGGUUGUUGCCACGGCCGAGCAUGCAUGGUUCCGCCUUCCAAAGAGACGGAAAGGGGAGUCCUCGGGAAACUCGUGCCGAUAGUCCCGGCACACCUGCGCGAAGGCGCACUGCAUGGCGAACUGAAGGCCUUGCUCGAAGGUGGGGUAGCGGCUGAUGAAGGUGAUAUCCGGCGUUGCUGGCGCGAUCUCACGCCCGCGGAUCUUCGCCUCGAUCUCCGAAUCCACGGAGACUCGACUCAGAGGGACCCAUAGAAAUGGACCUAAUGUCGCACAACAUCUCGAAUACUCAAAGCAGCCCACCCAGGACAGUUCAUUGAAUUACUUGUUUUGCCAUACACUAGGAAAACCAUACUUUCCUUUUAUACCAAAUCUCUUUACCCCGCGUAUCGGCGAAACUCUGAGAUACGCUCUUCCUUCAAUCUUGUAGGUAACUUCCCUACGUUUGGAGUCUGCAUAGCUCUUCAGCCUUGACUGAGCUACUUUCAGCCGGUCUCGGAGAGUCUAACCUCUUCCUUGGCAUCCUUUAUCAUAUUCGGACCGAAUAGGCUACGGUCUCCUACACCAUCCCAUAACAAUGGUGUUCUGCACUUCCUUCCAUACAAAGCUUCAAACGGUGACAUUCCUAUGCUGGCUUGGAAGCUGUUGUUGUACGAGAAUUCUGCAUACGGCAGGUUGUCAUCCCAACUGAAUCCAUAAUCUAGAGUGCAGGCUCUCAACAUAUCUUCAAGGAUAUGAUUAACCCUCUCGGUUUGUCCAUCCGUCUGCGGAUGAAAAGCUGUGCUGAACUCUAGUCUCGUUCCUAGAGACUCAUGUAGUUGUCCGCAAAAUCUUGAGGUAAAUUGGGUGCCUCUGUCUGAAACUAUUUCCUUAGGUACUCCGUGUAAACACACAAUUUUGGAUAUGUAGCAUUUCGCUAACUGUGCACUGGUGUAAGUGGUCUUCACUGGUAUGAAGUGGGCAACCUUGGUCAACGAUCAACCACUACCCAAAUAGAAUCAUAUCCUGAUCUGGUCCUUGGUAGACCGGUGAUAAAAUCCAUGCUAACUUUAUCCCAGCUCCAGUCUGGUAUUGGCAGCGGUCAUAGCAAUCCUGCGGGUUUCUGGUGCUCUACCUUAACCCUGCUGCACACAUCGCACAAGGCAAUGAAUUCUGCGAUGUCUCGUUUUAAUCCGGACCACCAAAAUGUUUCCUUUAGGUCCAUGUACAUCUUUGUGUUCCUAGGGUGGAUUGAGUACGGUGAGUCUUGGGCUUCUUUUAAAAUCAGCUUCCUGAUUUCCGGAUCCUGCGGUACGCAAAUGCGUUUUUCGAACCAUAUGGUACCCUGGUCAUCCUCACGAAAAUCUUUGGCUUUUCCGAUAACUAUAUUCUCUUUUAUUGCAUUUAUUUCUGAGUCACCCUUCUGUGCUUUUCUAAUCUUAUCCAGCAACGUGGGCUGUACUUCCAAAGUGGUUAAAUAACCUUCUGGUACUAUUUCCAGUCUGAGGUCUUUGAACUGUUCGCACAAUUCUGGCGGUAAUACCCCAGCUGUCAGUCCAUUUAUAUAGCCCUUGCGGCUCAAUGCAUCGGCUACAACAUGAGCCUUGCCGGAAUGGUAUUGCAGACUCAGGUCAUAAUCCUUUAUCAGUUCCAACCAUCUUCUCUGUCUCAGGUUCAAUUCCUUCUGGGUGAAUAUGUAUUUUAGGCUCUUGUGAUCCGUGAACAAUUCACAGUGUUUCCCCAUCAGGUAGUUACUCCAAGUCUUCAAGGCAUGCACUACUGAUGCUAGUUCCAAGUCAUGCGUGGGGUAGUUACCUUUGUGGCUCUUUAGUUGCCGCGAAGCAUACGCUACAACUCUUCCUCCUUGCAUUAACACUCCUCCCAAUCCUUGACGUGAGGCGUCACAGUAUACUUGAAAAUCCUCUUGCAGAUCAGGCAAAAUAAGGAUGGGCACAGACACUAGUCUUUUCUUCAACUCCUGAAAACUUCCUUCACAAUUCUCGUUCCAAGGGAACUUCUUCUCCUUCUUUAAGAGCUCGGUCAUAGGUUUUGCUAUUUUGGAGAAAUUCUCAAUGAACCUCCGGUAGUAACCAGCAAGUCCUAGAAAGCUGCGGACAUCACCGACAUUCUUAGGUGCUUCCCAUUCGGUCACUACUGCUACCUUAGCUGGGUCGACAGCUACUCCUGCUCCUGACACGAUGUGCCCUAGAAAACUGACUUCUGAUAACCAAAAUGCACACUUGCUGAAUUUGGCAUACAACUUGUGCGCUCUCAGCUUCUCCAAAAUCAUGUGCAGAUGCUGCUCAUGUUCUUCCUUGCUCUUGGAAUAAAUCAAGAUGUCAUCGAUGAACACUACGACAAACUUGUCCAAGAAUUCCAUGAAUACCUUGUUCAUCAUGUUCAUGAAGUAUGCAGGUGCAUUGGUCAAACCAAAAGGCAUCACGGUGUACUCAUACAGUCCAUACCUAAUGGUGAAAGCUGUUUUGGGAAUGUCCAUCUCUCUGAUCUUCAGCUGAAAAUACCCUGAUCACAGAUCGAUCUUUGAGAACACACAGGCUCCUUUCAACUGAUCGAAAAGAUCGUUAAUUAUAGGUAAGGGGUACUUAUUCUUUAUCGUCACUUCAUUCAGUGAGCGAUAAUCUAUGCACAUCCGUUGGCUCUUGUCCUUCUUCUCUACAAACAGGACAGGUGCUCCCCAUGGUGAUGAGCUGGGGCGAAUGAAACCUUUCGCUAACUUUUCAGCUAGCUGCUUCUUCAAUUCCUUCAAUUCACCCACAGCCAUCUUAUAUGGUCUCUUGACCAUGGGUCCACUUCCAGGCAUCAACUUGAUAAGAAAGUCUACAUCACGGUCUGGUGGCAUACCUAGCAACUCUUCCGAGAAAACAUUCGGGUAUUCCUUCACUAUGGCUACAUCCUCCAUGCUAACCCCCUUAAAAGAAUUGACCUUAGGUCUCUUAAGUUCCAUAGUAGACUUGAAGCGGAUUCGCUUCUUCUCAGGGGUUGUGAGUGUAAUUGUUCUCUUGGCACAGUCUACAAGUCCUUCGUAUAAGGUCAUCCAGUCCAUUCCCAGAAUUAUGUCUAGACCUCGGAAAUCUAACACAAUAAGGUCAGAGGGAAAAAUGUGUUUCCCAAUCUCUAGGGGUAACUGGCGGCAUCCUUGAGUCGCUACCAUUUGUCCUCCAGGUGAACUCACUCUCAAAGGGUUUCUUAGGGUGUUUAUAGGUAUCUUAUUCUCGUUCACGAACAUUCUUGAUAUGAAUGUAUGUGAUGCACCCGUGUCAAAGAGUACGAGUGCUUGGAAAGAAUUCACGCGGAAUGUUCCAAUUACAAUGCUCGGCUCUGAGAUUUCUUCCACACUGACCCGGUUCACAUGACCUUCCAGGAACGGGGUGGGCUUGACUCCAUUCCCUUCGAACCUCUCUGGGCAAUCGUUCGAGUAGUGCCCCAUCUUGUGGCACUUGAAACAUUCCACUUGACUCAGGUCAAACUGGGUAAAGUCGUCAUUCUGAUUCUGCUCGUUGUUGUUUCCACUGCCCUGACCAUUGCUCUUGUGCUGUUGUCGGCGUCCAUUCCCAUGAUAGUGCUCAUGGUGGCCAUUCUCUCCAUGGAUAUGAUGGUGGUGGUGGCUUCCAUGUUUGAUCCUUGAUGAACUACCACCAUCUCCAUAAGAGGUGCGUGGCUUCUGGUGUGGUCCAGUGUUAAUGCUUCCAUGGCGAUGUCUUCUCUUGCAGCCCUCAAUCUGGUUUAUCUUGUCUUCCAAGAUAAAGGCUUUGUCUAUCAGGGACUAAUAGGUGGGGGUGUAAGAAACUCAUAGCUGAACGGAAAGCUCGUCGUUCAGUCCAUCCAAAAACUUCUCACGGCGCUUGGCAUCGGUAUUGACUUAUCAGGUGCAUAGCGAGACAGCUUGUUGAAUUCCUCAAUAUAUUCCAUCACGGUGCGGGUUCCUUGCUUCAGUUUGUGGAACUUCUUCUUCCUCAGGCUUAGCACUCCCGUAGAGAUAUGGGCGGUGCGGAAAGCAUCCUGGAACAUCUCCCAAGUGAUAUCCUCAAUCGGGUUGGUGAUCAGGUAGUUCUCCCACCAUAAUGUGGCUGGUCCCUCCAAUAGGUGUGCUGCAAACCUCACUUUCUCAGCGUCUGUGCAGCCCAUAGUCAUUAAGUUCUUGUUCACUGAACGUAGCCAGUCAUCUGCUACCAUGGGUUCAGUGGAGGUGGUGAAAGUAGGUGGGUGCAACUUCAGAAAUCUUGUAAGCAUAUCCACCUGAGGUGAUGGGUUGGGGUGUUGGUUAUUCUGGUCAAUGUUCUGGUGGCUGGUCAUCUUCUGGGUUAUCAACUGGAAAAAUUGAGCCUGGGCUGCCAGCAGAGUCUGCACAUUAACUGAUUUGUUGUUCCCUUCCUCAUGGUUGUCACUGUUGUUGGUGGUGUGUGAUCUGUUGUUGUUAGGGGUACGUCUUGGAGGCAUCUGUUUAGGAUAGCAUAGAUGAGAAGAUAGACAGAUGGGGUAUAAAAGAAACUUAACCCAACAGCAGGCAAGUAAGGCAUAACAAUCACCAACCAAGUAAGAUCCAGCAAACUAAUGACAUAGUUCAGGCAUCCAAGCCCAAGAAAAGAAGUUUCAAAAGCAAACGAACAAAGUUUUCGUUAUCCAAAAUAAUUUACUACUAUCAUUUGUGGCCAUCAAUAAAUCCAAAAGUGACAGCUCACAAAUUACGUCUACCGUGACUAAGUAUGCUGGUUUCGAUGUAUGAAAACCUUCAAAACUGGAUGAGAGAGUGAAAGAACUGGACGAGGAUAGAAUAUGAGAGUUUUCAAAAAUAAGUUUAGUUUGGUAAUAGGUACCUAAUAAGAUAAUUCAUAUCUAAGGGUCACGAAUCUACAGGCAACACAAUGCUCUGAUACCAUCUAAAGCGAUCCUCCCCCUUACAGGGUUCGAUCUCUGUGCUUACAGUGCUAGUCCCUGGAUCAACUCGCUGGCACACACAGUUUCAAGAUGUAAUAUCAAGAUACAAAGGUCAAAAGUGUAUUACAUCGCAUUGAUCCAGAAUUUUAAUAAUACCUUAUAUUGCAUAACCUCAUGGGUUAGCUCAAAAGAAAAGAAAAUCUUGCAGCGGAAAGCAGAAGAUGCGUGAGUCCCAUAACAACUCCACCGUCAAAACAUGUUGGAAUGUAAACUCGCAACCCUAACAAUUCGUACCUCACUUUUCACCUGGUUCACCUGCAACAUUUAAACGUUGCAGCCACUAGGGAGUCAAUACAUUGAAUGUAUUGGCAAGAUUCACAAAGGAGUUAUAACAGAUCCUGUCAAGUAUAUGCAGUAUUUGGCAAGGUGGGGUUUGGCUAAUUGCAUAAAAGCAUCAAUGUAACAUCCUAUCAUUUUAUUAAAUAGUUUUAUCACUAUUGGACACGGGGUAGAAACACCCAUGCUCCUAUUAACCUAGAGCACAUUGAGUAGAAACAUCAAGUGCCCCUACCUUGUUCAAACCAUUCAUUUUAUUUAAGAAAUUGGAAUGAGUGAGACCUUCCUUACAGUUCCCAAAUCUAGUUGCUCAUAAUUGUCCGUAACCGGGGACACGGCUAAGUACUUAGUUUGACACUCUCGAGAGGUUGUACACAUUCCCCACAGAAAUCGACGUGUUAAUCCCUUGCUGUCCUCAGGGUAGAGUAGCAACGGCAUCGAUUACAGGAAUUUUCAGACAAUAAUCACCCAGACCACCUGAGGGACCUACGUUCCCAUCUACACGGCUACAUCUGCACAAUCCCUCGGAUCUAGGAUCAUAUGUCUUACAUCCAUCCUGGCAGAGCCCAUAUUACCAUGUGGUUGUACUGGAAGCUACUAAACAGGAAAACUAGUCCAGUCUCUGAUACCCUAGGUGGCAUUCGACAUUUCUGACGCAAGCGCUCCCCGAAUCCACGGAAGAGACGUCCAUGGACGGUCUGUAACAUCCCAAAAUUUCAAAUCCUUUCAUAUGUAUUGCAUUCAUGAGCAUCAUGUCACAAUUGCAUAUUUGAAAUCAAAUUUGAAUCUCAAAAGGCUUUAAAAGACUUUGUUUCAAUUUAAACCCUAGGUUUACACCCAUUUGAGCUGUGGAUCUUCAAACUAAUAAGGUUUAUUUAUAAAAGGGGUUUAUUGCAUAAAUAAGCUAUCCCAUAAUUUAUAAGAUUUUAUUUGGAGUUGAAAAAGUAUUUUAUUUAAAUAGUUAUAUAGCCCUAAAGGCAUUUAUAGGGCAAAUGUAUUUUUAGAUAUUUUAUUUUGAGGGGAAAUUACUCCCAAGAGUUGUAUCUUGAUAAAACAUGAUUUUACAAAUUUUCUGGAAUUUAUUUGGACCAAUUUAGAGUUCAAAAUCAAAAGAUAUCAAAGAAAUAAGAAAAACAGAAAAAGAAAAGGCUAAAAAAAAAAAGGGAGAACACCGGACUGGCCCGGCCAAAUGGGCCGAACCGGCCCAGUUCCGUGCGCCCGGACCGGACCGAGCCGCUGUUGCGUGGGACCCACGAGUCAGGGUCUUCGUCCCCGAUUGAAAGUACCCGCGUCUGCCGCCGCCUUCCUUCUUCGCCGCCACGCGCUGUCUCCGCCGAGAUCUCCGCGCUCCGUCCUUAUUUCGCAGCCCCGCCCGCGUCCUUUAAAAGCCCGUGCCUCCCUCUCUUCUUCCCCUCUUCUCGCCGCCUCGAUUACGCGCCCACGCCGCCGCGAUUGCUCGGCGGAACCCUAGCGCGCCCGCCGCCGUUUUCCUUCGUCGCCGGCAACCCUAAGGGUUAGCUCCGCCAUCUUCUUCUCCCUCUACUUCUUCAUCUCCGUGCGCUUCUUUUGACGCGCCCCGUUUCCUUUUUCGUGCACCGUAGCGCCGCCCCCAUCAUCGCCGAAGCUCGCCGGAGUCCGCCGCCCGCGCUGCCGCGCCCGUCCCCGUCCUAGGCGUGGCCUCCGACCGCGUCCCCGACCUCGCCUUGCCGCGCCGCGUCGACCCCGCACCUCCCCGCGCCGCCAGCUUCACCGGAGAAGCUGCCCGCCGCCCGCCCGUGCCCGCGCCGCCGCAGUGGAGGUAAUGGUCACAACCACCGCCAGGGAAACCAAGGACACCACCACUAGGGUGGCAAUGGGAACCGACACCAUCAACAGCACCAGCAGCAGCAGCAGUUCGCUCGCCCAAGGCCCAUCAAUGGCAAUGGCAAUGGCAGGAACAACAGCAAUGGCCAGAGCAACAAUGGUUAGAACCACAAUGCCAACAAGGACAUGAGCAAGGUGGAAUGCUUUAAGUGUCACAAGAUAAGACACUAAACCACCAACUGCCCGGAGAACCAGGAUGGUACUGGGAACAAGCCCAACCCAUUCCAGAAGGACCACGUGAAUCACGUGGAUGUGGAAGAGAUCACCGAGGAACCAGGUAUCAUACUUGGCACCUUCCACGUUAAUGCUUUUGAAGUACUAGUUCUAUUUGACACUGGUGCAUCGCAUUCAUUCAUUUCAAGAGUAUUGGUAGAAAGAGGCAAAUUACCCUCUAAGACCAUGGCUAGACCCAUGAAAGUGAACUCACCGGGUGGAACAAUGCUAGCAACCCGACACUGCCACCAGCUACCCCUAAGUAUUGGGAGACACAAUUUUCCCUCUGAUCUCAUAGUUAUAGAUUCCCGAGGACUGGACCUAAUCCUGGGAAUGGACUGGUUGACCUUGUAUGAAGGAUUAGUAGACUGUGCCCAGAGAACUGUCACACUCACAACCCCAGACAAGAGACGCAUCCGGUACAAGUCAACCCACGAGCUUAAGAAACCCAAGGUAAAUGCUCUUAAGGGGGUUAGCAUGGACGAAGUACCGAUAGUGAAGGAAUACCCAGACGUAUUUCCAGAGGAAUUACCAGGCAUGCCACCGGACCGUGACGUUGAGUUUCUCAUUGAAUUAAUGCCAGGAAGUGGACCCAUAGCCAAGAGACCAUAUAAGAUGGCUGUGGAUGAGUUAAAGGAAUUGAAGAAGCAGCUAGCUGAACAGUUACCGAAAGGUUUCAUCCGCCCUAGUUCAUCACCCUGGGGAGCACCUGUCCUGUUUGUGGAAAAGAAGGACAAGAGCCAACGGAUGUGCAUUGACUAUCGUUCACUAAAUGAGGUGACGAUAAAGAAUAAGUAUCCUUUGCUCAUAAUCAAUGAUCUUUUCGAUCAAUUGAAGGGAGCUCAAGUGUUCUCAAAGAUCGAUCUGCGAUCAGGGUAUUUCCAGCUGAAGAUCCGAGAGAUGGAUAUACCCAAGACGGCAUUCACCACUAGGUAUGGACUGUAUGAGUACACUGUGAUGCCUUUUGGAUUGACCAAUGCACCUGCAUAUUUCAUGAACAUGAUGAACAAGGUGUUCAUGGAAUUCUUGGACAAGUUUGUCGUAGUAUUCAUCGAUGACAUAUUGAUCUAUUCCAAGAGCAAGGAAGAGCAUGAGCAGCAUCUGCGCAUGAUUUUGGAGAAGUUGAGAGAGCACCAGCUGUACGCCAAAUUCAGCAAGUGUGAAUUUUGGUUACCAGAAGUCCGCUUUCUAGGACACAUAGUGUUAGGAGCCGGAGUAGCUGUUGACCCAGCUAAGGUUGCAGCAGUUACAUAAUGGGAGGCACCGAAGAACGUCGGAGAAGUUCGCAGUUUCCUUGGACUUGCUGGUUACUACCGGGGGGUUCAUUGAGAAUUUCUCCAAAAUAGCGAAACCCAUGAUUGAGCUCUUAAAGAAGGAAAAGAAGUUUGCCUGGAAUGAGUUAUGUGAAGAGAGCUUCCAGGAAUUGAAGAAAAGACUUGUGUCUGCGCCCAUCCUUGUGUUACCUGACCUGCAAGAGGAUUUUCAAGUGUACUGUGAUGCCUCACGUCAAGGAUUGGGAGGAGUCUUAAUGCAAGGAGGUAGAGUCCUAGCGUACGCUUUGCGACAACUAAAAGAUUAUAAUCUGACUUUGUAAUCCCAUCCAGGCAAGGCAAACGUGGUAGCUGACGCUUUGAGCCAUAAGGGCUAUUUGAAUGGACUGACAGCAGGAGAAUUACCGCCAGAAUUGUGCGAACAGUUCAAUGACCUUAGACUGGAAAUAGUACCCGAAGGUUACUUAGCCAAUUUGGAAGUACAUCCCACACUGCUAGAUAAGAUUAGAGAAGCACAGAAGGAUGACCCGGAAAUUAAUGAAAUAAAAGAAAAUAUGGUUAUUGGAAAGGCCAAAGAUUUUCGAGAGGAUGACCAAGGAACCAUAUGGUUCGGUAAACGCAUUUGCGUACCGCAGUAUCCGGAAAUCAGAAAGCUGAUUUUACAAAAAGCCCAUGAUUCACUGUACUCAAUCCACCCUGGGAACACGAAAAUGUACAUGGACCUCAAGGAAACAUUUUGGUGGUCCGGAUUAAAGCGAGACAUCACAUAGUUCAUUGCCUUGUGCGAUGUGUGCAGCAGGGUUAAGGCCGAACACCAGAAACCAGCAGGAUUGCUAAGACCGCUGCCUAUACCAGACUGGAAAUGGGAUAAAGUAGGCAUGGAUUUUUUCACCGGUUUACCAAGGACCAAAUCAGGGUAUGAUUCCAUAUGGGUAGUGGUCGACCGUUGGACCAAGGUUGCCCACUUUAUACUGGUAAAGACUACUUACACCAGUGCACAGUUAGCGAAACGCUACAUUUCCAGAAUAGUGUGUUUACACGGAGUACCCAAGGAAAUAGUUUCAGACAGAGGUACCCAAUUUACCUCAAGAUUUUGGGGACAACUACAUGAAGCUCUAGGAACGAGACUAGAAUUCAGCACAGCUUUUCAUCCGCAGACGAAUGGACAAACCGAGAGAGUUAAUCAGAUCCUUGAAGACAUGUUGAGAGCAUGUGCUCUAGAUUAUGGAUCCAGUUGGGAUGACAACCUGCCGUAUGCAGAAUUCUCAUACAACAACAGCUUCCAAGCCAGCAUUGGAAUGUCACCGUUUGAAGCUUUGUAUGGAAGGAAGUGAAGAACACCAUUGUUAUGGGAUGGUGUAGGAGAUCUGGCCUAUUCGGACCGGAUAUGAUAAAGGACGCCGAGGAAAAGGUUAGACUCAUCCAAAACCGGCUGAAGGUAGCUCAGUCAAGGCUGAAGAGCUAUGCAGACUCCAAACGUAGGGAAGUUACCUACAAGAUUGAAGGAAGAGCGUAUCUCAGAGUUUCGCCGAUACGCGGGGUAAAGGGAUUUGAUAUAAAAGGAAAGUUAGCACCCCGUUUUAUUGGACCUUUGAAGAUCUUGUCACGACAAGGAGAGGUAACCUACAAAUUGGAUUUACCGGAAGCACUGUCCAAUGUCCACAAUGUCUUCUGUGUGUCGCAACUGAAGAAGUGUCAUCCUGAGAUGGCCGACACACCACUAAGGGAUACAAUUCCACUUGAAGAAGUCCAGCUACAAAGUGACCUCACCUAUGAGGAGAAACCUAUCAGAAUCUUGGAUACAGUUGAGAGACAAACCCGAUCCAAGACUAUCAAGUUCUGCAAAGUUCAGUGGGAUCAUCACACAGAAGAAGAAGCCACUUGGGAACGCGAAGAUGAUCUUCGAGAAGACCACCCACACCUCUUUGCUCACCACACCUAAUCUCGAGGACGAGAUUUAUCUUAAGGUGGUUAGGUCUGUAACAUCCCAAAAUUUCAAAUCCUUUCAUAUAUAUUGCAUUCAUGAGCAUCAUGUCACAAUUGCACAUUUGAAAUCAAAUUUGAAUCUCAAAAGGCGUUAAAAGACUCUGUUUCAAUUUAAACCCUAGGUUUACACCCAUUUGAGCUUUGGAUCUUCAAACCAAUAAUGUUUAUUUAUAAAAGGGGUUUAUUGCAUAAAUAAGCUAUCCCAUAAUUUUUAAGAUUUUAUUUGGAGUUGAAAAUGUAUUUUAUUUAAAUAGUUAUAUAGGGCUAAAGGCAUUUAUACGGCAAAUGUAUUUUUAGAUAUUUUAUUUUGAGGGGAAAUUACUCCCAAAAGUAGUAUCUUGAUAAAACAUGAUUUUACAAAUUUUCUGGAAUUUAUUUGGACCAAUUUGGAGUUCAAAAUCAAAAGAUAUCAAAGAAAUAAGAAAAACAGAAAAAGAAAAGGCUAAAAGAAAAAAAAAGGGAGAAAACCGGACCGGCCCGGCCAAAUGGGCCGAACCGGCCCUGUUCCGCGCGCCCGGACCGGACCGAGCCGGCCCCGCGCCGCGCGCGCGUGCUCGCUGCCGCUGACGCGUGGGACCUACGUGUCAGGGUCUUCGUCCCCGUUGGAAAGCACCCGCGUCCGCCGCCGCCUUCCUUCUUCGCCGCCGCGCGGCGUCUCCGCCGAGAUCUCCGCGCUCCGUCCAUAUUUCGCAGCCCCGCCCGCGUCCUUUAAAAGCCCGUGCCUCCCUCUCUUCUUCCCCUCUUCCCGCCGCCUCGAUUACGCGCCCACGCCGCCGCGAUUGCUCGCCCG